rnacentral:rRNA from 1 species
AUUGAACGCUGGCGGCAGGCCUAACACAUGCAAGUCGAGCGGAUGACGGGAGCUUGCUCCUUGAUUCAGCGGCGGACGGGUGAGUAAUGCCUAGGAAUCUGCCUGGUAGUGGGGGACAACGCUUCGAAAGGAACGCUAAUACCGCAUACGUCCUACGGGAGAAAGCAGGGGACCUUCGGGCCUUGCGCUAUCAGAUGAGCCUAGGUCGGAUUAGCUUGUUGGUGAGGUAAUGGCUCACCAAGGCGACGAUCCGUAACUGGUCUGAGAGGAUGAUCAGUCACACUGGAACUGAGACACGGUCCAGACUCCUACGGGAGGCAGCAGUGGGGAAUAUUGGACAAUGGGCGAAAGCCUGAUCCAGCCAUGCCGCGUGUGUGAAGAAGGUCUUCGGACUGUAAAGCACUUUAAGUUGGGAGGAAGGGUUGUAGAUUAAUACUCUGCAAUUUUGACGUUACCGACAGAAUAAGCACCGGCUAACUCUGUGCCAGCCGCCGCCGUAA